UCCGAGUUUCUCUCGGCAGUCCCGUCUGAGAGAUACAACAGACGGCGAGGGUUGCGCUCGUUGCGGGACUUAACCCAACAUCUCACGACACGAGCUGACGACGGCCGUGCAACACCUGUGCAAGCUCCCUUGCGGGUCGGUCCCCUUUCGGAUUCCUACCACUUGCAUGUCAUGCCUGGGUAAGGUUCUUCGCGUACCAUCGAAUUGAACCGCACGCUCCGCUGCUUGUGCGGGCCCCCGUCAAUUUCUUUGAGUUUUAACCUUGCGGUCGUACUCCCCAGGUGGGGCACUUAAUGCGUUAGCUACGGCACUGCCGGGGUCGAUACCGACAACACCUAGUGCCCAUUGUUUACGGCUAGGACUAA
rnacentral:misc_RNA from 1 species